CACGUAGGGUGCGAGCGUUGUCCGGAAUUAUUGGGCGUAAAGAGCUCGUAGGCGGUGUGUCGCGUCGGCCGUGAAAACUUGCAGCUUAACUGUGGGCGUGCGGUCGAUACGGGCAUCACUGGAGUUCGGCAGGGGAGACUGGAAUUCCUGGUGUAGCGGUGAAAUGCGCAGAUAUCAGGAGGAACACCGGUGGCGAAGGCGGGUCCUCUGGGCCGAUACUGACGCUGAGGAGCGAAAGCGUGGGGAGCGAACAGG
rnacentral:rRNA from 1 species